GUUGACAAAAAAUAAAUAUAAGUUCACCCAAUGAAACAAUACAGUGAAGAUUAGCAUGGCCCCAUGCACAAGGAUGACACACAAAUUCUUGAAGCAUUCCAUAUUUAA